CCUCAACACAGAUCUGUUUGUCUGUAUUUGAGCCGGAAAUACACAGUUUCUGCCGUCUUGGCAGAAUAUUUGUGACUUACAAUGCUCUGAGGAACACCUGGCAUUGUGCUUGUGCAAAGCCACGAAUAUCUCAUAAAAACAUAGCUAAAUGGCAUUCCUUCCAGACACAGAGAGACAUCUUCAAAUCAAUCAAUAUCAUCAGGCACCCCAUCACAGAUGACUCAGGAGAGUUCUUCCUUUGAGGACAAUGCUGCCGUCGAAAGGAGUAUACGCUAUAUUUUUAAAGAGAAAAAAAUUCCUGGAUUUCUUCCAGAAAAUGUCAUCUCACAGAAAAUGGAUCAUCAGAAACAGCUCUUUCCAUGUGAAACGUUGUGCCAGGUGUGCCCAGAGCACCCAAAACUUGAUGAGGCUGUUGUAAUUACCAAUAAAGCGAGGAUUGUCAGCAUGAUAGGAGUGAUUGAGAAUGUUUCAACACACCAUAGAUCGUGUCCUCAGUGCCACAUGGUCUACAGAUACCAGGAGUGGACAGAUGGGCUUCACAACUUUGACAACCACGUUGUUUUGUCUCUUGAACUCUGCCUUUUUUGAGAGAAAAUCUGCAGAACCAUGUAUCCGCUUCAAGGGUCAUUGACUCAUUGGAGGGCUUAAGAAGAGUGAAGUUUCCUUCUAGGGAUACCAUUUUUCAUGCUUAUUGCCAUUUUGAGGCUUUGACUGACGCAGAAUACAUGUACUCCUGCAUAAACUGUGGGUUUCACCUCCCUGUGGUAGUUAUGGACUUACACAGAAAAGGGGUGUUCAAGUUAGCAGUGAGUGACCUCAAAGCCCCGGAAGACUUCAAUGGUGAACAUGACAUUGAAGGUUUUUGGCACUCUAUUCACCUGGAAAUGAUAAGCCGUGGGUUUUUUCCAAGCGGCGUGAAGAAUCCAUUUUCAGUUCCACCAAGUUACACGCACUGGGCACCAUGGAUCGGGAGUGAAACUCGAACAAGUGACAUUGUGCUUAACACAGAG